GAACGCUGGCGGCAGGCUUAACACAUGCAAGUCGAGCGGUAACAGGGGGUGCUUGCACCCCGCUGACGAGCGGCGGACGGGUGAGUAAUGCUUAGGAAUCUGCCCAGUAGUGGGGGAUAGCCCGGGGAAACCCGGAUUAAUACCGCAUACGUCCUACGGGAGAAAGCAGGGGAUCUUCGGACCUUGCGCUAUUGGAUGAGCCUAAGUCGGAUUAGCUAGUUGGUGGGGUAAAGGCCUACCAAGGCCACGAUCCGUAGCUGGUUUGAGAGGAUGAUCAGCCACAUCGGGACUGAGACACGGCCCGAACUCCUACGGGAGGCAGCAGUGGGGAAUAUUGGACAAUGGGGGCAACCCUGAUCCAGCCAUGCCGCGUGUGUGAAGAAGGCUUUCGGGUUGUAAAGCACUUUCAGUGAGGAGGAAAACCUUACGGUUAAUAACCGUGAGGCUUGACGUUACUCACAGAAGAAGCACCGGCUAACUCCGUGCCAGCAGCCACGGUAAUACGGAGGGUGCAAGCGUUAAUCGGAAUUACUGGGCGUAAAGCGCGCGUAGGUGGUUCGAUAAGCGGGAUGUG
rnacentral:rRNA from 1 species